UGAAGAUUUAUUCAGGCCCAAUGUGCUAUAGAGAUGUUCAGUCCUACGAUGGACAUGGAUAGUGACAUGGUCCAGCUGAUUCAGUCUCAUGCGCGUGAGUGAGAUGGCAUUCAGAAUAGUACAGCUCUCAGAUGCGAUAUGAUGACGAAACAUCAGAAGCAAGCUCUGUUCAGUCGUACAAGCAGCAGCAGUAAUACGAAAGCGACAAGCGUGGUCGAUGUACUCGGUAGUAAGGGCACGCAUGCAGUCUUGCAGUCAGGACUGAAAUCCGGGCUCACCACUGGAACUGCCUGUGAUACUGCAGACUAGAGACUAGGAGAGGGUGUGAAUUCCCAGUGUAGAGGUGAAAUUCGUAGAUAUGGGAGGAACACCAGAGGCGAGGGCGGCCACAUGGACUAGAUCUGACGCUCAGUGCGAAAGCGUGGGAGCAAACAGGAUUAGAUACCUGGUAGUACACGCCGUAAACGAUGAGUGCUAGUUGUCGGGAUUUAGAUUUCGGUGACGCAGCUAACACAUUAAGCACUCCGCCUGGGGAGUACGGUCGCAAGAUUAUAACUCAAAGGAAUUGACGGGGGCCCGCACAAGCGGUGGAGCAUGUGGUUUAAUUCGAAGCAACGUGCAGAACCUUACCAACCCUUGACAUCCCUAUCGAGAUUUCCAGAGAUGGAUAUCAUCAGUUCGGCUGGAUAGGUGACAGGUGCUGCAUGGCUGUCGUCAGCUCGUGUCGUGGGAUGUUGGGUUAAGUCCCGCAACGAGCGCAACCCCUGUUCCUAGUUGCCAGCAUUCAGUUGGGCACUCUAGGGAGACUGCCGGUGACAAGCCGGAGGAAGGCGGGGAUGACGUCAAGUCCUCAUGGCCCUUACGGGUUGGGCUACACACGUGCUACAAUGGUAACUACAGAGGGCAGCGACUUAGCGAUAAGUAGCCAAUCCCAAAAAGUUAUCUCAGUUCGGAUUGCACUGUGCAACUCGAGUGCAUGAAGUUGGAAUCGCUAGUAAUCGUGGAUCAGCAUGCCACGGUGAAUACGUUCCCGGGCCUUGUACACACCGCCCGUCACACCAUGGGAGUUGGUUUUACCCGAAGACGGUGGGCUAACCUUUUAGGAGGCAGCCGGCCACGGUAAGGUCAGCGACUGGGGUGAAGUCGUAACAAGGUAACCGUA
rnacentral:rRNA from 1 species